rnacentral:rRNA from 1 species
CGUACACUCCUACGGGAGGCAGCAGUGGGGAAUAUUGCACAAUGGGCGCAAGCCUGAUGCAGCCAUGCCGCGUGUAUGAAGAAGGCCUUCGGGUUGUAAAGUACUUUCAGCGGGGAGGAAGGCGAUAAGGUUAAUAACCUUGUUGAUUGACGUUACCCGCAGAAGAAGCACCGGCUAACUCCGUGCCAGCAGCCGCGGUAAUACGGAGGGUGCAAGCGUUAAUCGGAAUUACUGGGCGUAAAGCGCACGCAGGCGGUCUGUCAAGUCGGAUGUGAAAUCCCCGGGCUCAACCUGGGAACUGCAUUCGAAACUGGCAGGCUAGAGUCUUGUAGAGGGGGGUAGAAUUCCAGGUGUAGCGGUGAAAUGCGUAGAGAUCUGGAGGAAUACCGGUGGCGAAGGCGUCCCCCUGGACAAAGACUGACGCUCAGGUGCGAAAGCGUGGGGAGCAAACAGGAUUAGAUACCCGUGUAGUCCCA